GAACACCCCAGCCACGGCCGAAGGGAAAAAAAACCCCCACACAUAAAAGCCUCCAAUCCAGCUGGCAAACUAAAGAGCCCACCACAACAGAGCUGGAGUCACAGUGAGUCGACUGCAACAAGUGGUACUAAAGGAUUGAUUCAGUGGAUCAGAUCUCCAGGGUUACAUAAACUAUCAUGGCCUGAAUUAAGGAUGAGGUCAACUGUGAGUUGCUGCUGAAAGAAGAAUUCUCCAGAAAAUCCACUUCCACAGGCAAGGAACAAAUGGAAAAUGAAAAGUGAAGCUUCACCCAAAAUCACUUCCUGAAACAAUCACCUUUCCAUCAACUCACCUCUCUUUGGUGGGCAAAAAGAGAGUGAGCAGACAAAUGUGAGCAGGAAAUGCCUUCCAGUCAAACCCUCCCGGUGAUCAAGUGCAAAGAGAAGUGGGUCAUUCACACAGGCAUACAGGAACUGUCAGCACCAGCAGGCUGAGUGAAGAGCAAGGGGAAAGCUCCAAGCUCACAGUCAAAUCAUCACCAGAGCAAGUGGAAAACUGAAGUGUAUAUAUCAAUAAAAGAUGUUCCAGGAGGAAAGAAUUCAACUUUCACAAGAGAAAGGUAAAAGCAAACAAACUUGUAAAGAAAGGUAAGGUCAGAAGGGAUCCAAGCAUAUUUGUGGUUUAGUUUUCAAGUCUUUAGGUAAUACUGUGCAAGCAAAAAGGAUUCAUUUUCCUAGAGCCUCUAAUGUAGUGCCUGGAAUGUUUUGAACACAAAUUAGAAUUGUGCUACACAGAAAAUAAUAACAGGCAGAAAACUUGCUAAAUUUCUUUUUUCUAGUAGUUUAAAGUAUCUAUUUUCACAGAUAUUUUAAAAUAUUUUAGCCUAAAACAUGUUUAGGGCCUCUAUAGCUCCCUAUCAAUUAGUCAGCUAACCAUCACUAAAAAGGAGCUUUUCCAGUCUUGUUUCUGUUGUGAAGAACGAGUGGAAAAAGCUAUUACACCAUCAGAGACAUAAUAUACACAUCUGGUGAAUCACUUGAUGAGCACACAGAAUGCCAGAAAGCUCCCUGUUUGACAUGAGUGUAAUUAUGCCAGAAACAGCCCCUUUUGGUAACAGCAUUAAAGCACUUGUGAUGCAGCUGAGCAGUAGCAAGGUUUCUUCCACAGUGGCAGAGUUUUCAUAUGGAAAUCUGGAGUACCUACACACACACAGAGUUAUAUUUGAUUUGGAAAAAAUGUUGAAUGAAAUGUAAAUCAAAAAUAUAAAAGCAAAACUUGCCUUCUCCCCCAAAAACCUGAACAACACCAAGUAUCCAACACCUUUGAAUAACUGGUGUUUGAUUUUUCUAUUUGUGUGGUUAAUGUGUACUUUAAGGAUAUUGAAUGGUCACAAAGUAUACCUCAUACAAAGAUACUGACAUAUCAUAAAGUAAGCACUCCUGGUUUUGUCUGUGCAGCAGAACUUGAAAUGGAAUUCUCCUCUGUCACCUGGGAAUUUUAAGCUCUUACAGGCAAUUUCAGUCUUAUUUUGCUUAAGGAGCAAAACAAACCUUUGCAUGACCACCAGUGCAAUACAAGUCACAAAUACCUGCAGGCAGAAGAACCCAAACCUUUCAAGGGGCUGAUUGCUGGUGAAGACCAAACUAAAAUAUAUUAAUUAUUUUUAUUUUAGUGGUGUGUCAGCAUGACUACAAACUUCAUUGUGCCUCUCUCAGGGGUAAAACUUUAAAAGGAAGGGAAGACAUUUAAGCAAAAGCUGAAACCCCUAGAAACUCCAGCAUAAAAUUUAAAAACUAUCUUGAACAGAAGGUUCUUCUACUGCAAUGAAGUGCACUAAUUUGAGAAAAAUCAGGGUUUUUUACUGCUUUUCUAUUUUUUAAAAUGUUUUUAAAAAGUGGCAUGUUUUUAUAGCUCAGUAAAUGAGGGCAAUUUGUAACAGAGUUGUGCCUCAUGUGACUAUACAGUUUUUGCAUUUGGCAUCAUAAAGUGACACAGAAACGUGUUGUUCCAUUAA